UAUAGAAUCUCCUGGGGCAUC
rnacentral:miRNA from 1 species